UUAAAAGGCAUCAUACUUUGUCUAGAACUAUGUGCAGCAGGCAGAGACAUCUAGCUGUUGAAUAAUAUACUACUAUCAAACGUCCUAUACAAGCAGUGGCACCUUGAAGAUGGAGGAGGAGAAGGAAGGGCCCUUUGUGCUGAAUACCGUCCAACUGUAUAGUAAUAGAAAGUUCCUUCUCAAUGGAGUAUACGUAAGGGCAAACAAGCUCAGGAGGGGAAACGUCCUUGAAAGGAAAAGUGACUUGGCCAAAGUCAUACAACAAUAAAUGCAGAUCACAAAUCCAGAUCCUGUGAUCCUGACUACAUUCUGUGCUGCUGUUACGGCUUUCCAUUAGAAUACCAUUAUUUUUUAACACAAAAUCUUCCCUUAUUUUACAAUGAAAGAAAGUGAAGAACUAAAACACAUUUUAAAAAAAAAAGUUUGGUCAUUCUAAAUUCUUGUUAAUAAAAUAAAAUAAAAUAAAAAAACAAACAAAUUACAAUGAUGCAUCCUAUUUGGUGGAUGAAAACUUUUGUUGAUUUCAUCCAAAUUCUUUGGCGAGGCAAAGAAGAGAUUUUAGUUGGUUUGUUUUUGCUUACAAUUUUGUGGUGAAUGUCUACACUAGCUUGUCUACACUUCUAUAAAAUUCCAUUCAAGCUCUAUUUAAUAUGCAGAAGAAUUAUUGCACUUGCUAUAUGUCAACUUUAAAUCUUCUUCAAUACAAUCUUAAAUGCCUUUCUUGCAGUAUAUCACUUCAUCAGUCUAGCUGAACUAGAGCUGUUUUGACAUUUUUUAUUGCUCCCAUAAAAUCUAGGAAUGGAACACUUUGAUUUUUCUAGCAGUAAUUUUUAUUACUUAGGCUUUUUCCAAAGUACUUGUCAAAGAGAUACAGUACUUGCACAGAGUAUAUUUUUCAGCUCUGCAUUAUAUUUUUAUUUCAAUUUAUUUUAGACGGGAUGCUUAACAUUAAUCUAAAUAAUACCUAUGGUAUUUCAAAUGAGGGUAUUAUGAAUAUAAUUAGAAUGGAUAUAAACCUACUUCGUCCAUCAAGAUUCCUAUAUUUUGUUGCCUGCAUCUAAGCAUAUGGCAUCUUUCAAGUAAGCCUUUAACUAAUAACUCACAUUGUGCUUUUAAUGCUGCACAUAACAUCAUAUCACAACGUGGGGGAGGGAGGGAAAUUAGUUUCUUGUAAUUUUUAUGUUUUAAUUUCAUUUUUUAUUUUUUUUAAUUUUAUUUAUUUAUUUUUUAGAGCUGUCUAGAUUUUUCCUUGGAGUGAGUUGUACCAGAACUUUUUAUUCCCCCCAACCACAAACUUAGGGAUAUAGAAAUUGCCAUAUUAGAUCAGGCCGGUGAUCUAUCUAGUCUAGUAGUCUGCCUGUUUCUUAGACUCGUAAGAGGAAAAUGUAAAAUAUGAUGUUACGUGUUAUGGAAAUGUCUGGUCACUGGGAGAGAUUCUUCCUAACCUGCUUCAGUUUUAGUUUAGUGUGUGCCCUGUAGCAUGAAGAUUUAUAGCCUUCCCCAAAAAAUGGAGAUACCGUUGUUUAAUUCUCCCCUUCCCUUCCCUCAUUGGAGAUAUCAGUUCUAGUCUAGGUCCUGCUGCCUUCCUUGACUUUCCUCAGACAAGUCAUUUCACCUUUCUGUUCCUUGAUUUCCUGUUCUGUUAUUAUCCUGACCUUGGGUUAAAGCCUUGAGGACCUACAAAUCAAAUAUACAAUUUAAGAUCUAGACAGUAUUGGAUUUAAAACAUAUUUAUUUCUUAAUAUUGUAACUGCAGAUGUUCACACCAUCCAUCUAAAUGUCCAGUUCUUUGGUAAUGCUGAACAUCUCUUGGCCCCAGUGAUGUAUUGUGGCUCUAUGUUCCAAGCUCUAAUUGUAUACUCUGUAAGAAUUAUAUUUUGUUUUUAAUCAGUGAAAGUGAACUCUUACUUUCCAGAAAUCUUAGGGAGUAAAGGUGACAUGGGGUAGGGAGGCAGCUUUGCAUUUCAACUGAUGGGUGAAAUUGUGCGUUUACAGUCAGCAUUCGCAUUAAAACAUCCAAUUAGCUUUUGCACUGUUUCCAUUAGUAGUGCUAAAUGUGAACUUAUGUACAUGAGAAAUUAAUGUUUCUGUAAGAAAAAGAAAACUGUAACCAGAUGCAUCUAAACAGCCUCCUCAGCUAUGUCACAAAUACCCCCUUGUUAUUCUCAUUAUGUUGAAUGAAUAUUAAUAAUACAUUUUAAAUAAUACCUAUCAUAAUAUAGCGUGAGUGGAGAAUAGGAACAUCUCUCUAACUGAUUAGACCUGUUGAAUGACAUUGGGAAAGGGUUCUGGGUUGAAUCACUGUUCCUAGGACAGGAUUGAAUUAGCAUAGAUUUAAUGCCAGUGAUAAUUCUAUGCAAUUGUGAGAUCAGUAGUUUAAUGCAACUGGCAGAGGCAGGGAUUUUCUUUCUCUUACAGUGCUGAAUAAACCUGUAUAAUCCUUUUCCUUUAGCGCUCAUGUCUAUCCAGGAUUCAAUUUAAUAAAAGGUCAAAGAAAUCAGGAUUCUGUUGAGCUUCCUAUUGCUCAAACACAGAGAGAAUGAGAUGUCAUCUCAGGGUGGUUGUGGUUCAGAAUCAUUAAAAAGACGACUGGGUGGAUUGGAGGGCUAUGUUUAUAUUUCCAAUUGCUUGUAUACUGCAGAAGAUGCCCUUCUUAACAGUAAAGUGUAUAUGAUUUCUUUAAUCCGGUAGCCCAAGAACUAAAAGGACAAAAGAGAGCCUGGAGCAAUCGCUACUUCGGAUUUUUAUUUUUACAAUAUUUUGUAUGUGUUUGUAUUAAUUUGUACUAGAGCUGGAGCAAAUCUGAAAAACUCCAACCAUUUUUAGCCAGGGCAGGGUAGGAGCAGUUGAAAACUUCAUGAGGGUUGUCCUUUCUAGUGCAGUACAGGUUUUAGUGAUCCUACAAACCCCAGGAAUUAGGAUACAUUUCCCUGAGCACCAUCCACAGAUACUUUAUUUCUUAACUACCUACCUAUAGGAAAAAGAGGUAGUUAGCUUUGUAUUUUUAACUGGUGAGCCUACAAGGUGCUGCCCUGCCCUGCCUUCUGCCUAACUAUCCACAGGUAGAAACUGAGCGCUGCUGGAGUUAGAUGGAUGGAUGUGUGUGUCUGUAUACAGAGCUUUCUUUAUGGAUGCCCCUUAAACCGGCUUAUGCAGUGUUGUGAUCUUCUUGGUUUAUUGAAUAUAGUGAAACCUAUUUGCAUGACUUUUCCACGGACCUAGUCUUUAAUGUCUGAAGUAGCCAUGAACCUGACCUUGAACAGUAACCUCAUCCAGAGUGGAAUUCUUCUUGGCCCAUUUUCUGCUUUAAAUGUGGAAUAUAUCUGGUUCUGCCUUUACUUAUUGCCAGCCAACCGAGUUCUGAAUGGAGCCCAACUUGUAAAUGGGUUUAGAGAGUGUUUUUGGUAUCUGUACUUCUGUACUGGGUGCUGAGCCAGUAAAUUGGCAUGUAGGGCCAGCUCUUCAAAGGAUCACAGGUUCCACUUACCUAAAUAAGCAGUUAGUUUCUCCAAAGACCUGCCAAUAGUUGCUGAGCUGUUUUGAAACCAUGGCCAUAAAUGUUUCAAGGGGAGCUGAAGGAAGGCCAGCCUCUUGUGCUUGCUUGCCUCAUUCUGUUUCUGGUACCCAACCUGAGGAAGAGCUGCACAGAUGCAGAACACCUCACUGAAGCUGCUAUGUGAAUAUCAAACGAGAAACGUUUUGCAGCUUUGUUCUCCAUGGUUAGCAGACUAAUAUAUCACUAUAACAAGAAAGCAUUUCCUGUUAAAAGCAUGAUUGCAAUUGGAUUCUGAGUUUCACUACCUGUCUGAAAUGAUCAUAGGGACCUAGGAGAUUCCUGAUUGGAUUGGACUCACAAUUGAGUCCAGCAUCCCGUCUCUCUACCGGGGUUUCAUUGGUAGAUAUAAACAUGAUGCUGUAAACAAAUAAAGAAUAAUAUGUCUCCCCUUAGUUCUCAUACUGGUGUGACGGACUUACCUGACUGAGCUCCAAUGUGUCCUGGGGCUCAAGAAUCCUUACUUCCGAUUGGUGGAGCCAGUCCACCAAUCAGGAACAAGCUGAGGAAAGCCGGCACCGCCCUUUUCCUGAAGGGAGUGGGAGUGGAGCUCUCGGACCGAAUUACAGACUGGAGUGUGGCAGGUCUGCUGGACUUGAGGGGCAGAGCCCCUGAAGUGUACAAAAGGAGAGCAUGUUCAGCAUGCAGGGCAGAUGCAGCAAGGGGCUCAAGAACAGCGGAGCCAAGAAAAGCUGGGGAGAGCUGCCCCGGCGGGUGAUAGCCCUGGGCUCCUGAAGACAUCACUGGAGGGGUCACCACCAGAGCCUCGACCCUGGGAGCAGGGAGAGCCUGCUGGGGCCCCCCACAUGAUGCACAGCCCGGUGCAUGGGGCCAACCCUGGUUGCUGCAGGAGGCAGCUUGGGUCCUGGGAUUCUUAGUGCACGUAGCAGUGCAUGGGGACACCAGAUCCCGGGAGCUGCACAUGGCGGCUCGGGUCUGCUACCCUCGGCAUAUGGGUGAGAACCCCAGUGCACCUGGAGGUUCAUGGAGGUCACCAGACCCUGGGAUUUGCAUGUGGUGGCUCAGGUCUGCUACUCUAAGCAUGUGGCCAAGGACUUGGUACACACAGUGGCUCAUGGCACCCUAAGCCAUGGGAGUGGUGUCAUGCCACUUGGGUUUGCACCCCCUUCCCCAGGAUGAGGCCAGGCACCCAGGAGGCACCAGUGGGGUGCAGUGGAGGUCCGGCGGUCCAGAUUUCAGGACCCGCAUGAGGCAGCCCAAGCCCCAGCACAAGACAGGAGGCAAGGCCUGGGCAUUGGGACUCGCAUGUGGAGGCCUGAGCUGCAGUGGAGGACAGAAGGCAGGGCCUCAGGCAGCCCCAUCAAGGCACCCAUGGCUCUGGGAACUGCUCCCAGCCUGCUACCCGGAUCCAUGAGUAGUCGGGGAAUGGGUCCUCCUCCCCAGGAGGGGAGGCCCUGAAAGGGGAAUGUUGCAGGAUCAAGGGCCAGGUAGACCCAUCUUGGGCUGAGGAGGUAGUGGGACCCUCCUCCCCCAAAUCAGGUGCCAGAGUUGCCGCCCUAGGGGAACAGUAAAUAAUCUGUGCCCACAAGGCGGGGGUGGGAACAUUGCACCUCCCAUUUUGUAAAUAGUUAUAUUUUUUAUUGAUAGAUAGAUAGAUAUGUUAUCAUUAUUUUAAUGUGGCCUGUGUUAUGUCAGCAAGUUGAGGUUUGAUUGUGUUAUUGUUCUUGCUUGAACUUAUCUGUGGAUACCUGUGUUUAUUUGCCUAGCUAUAUUUGCCUGUGGUUAUUGUACAUAUUUAGUUGUGUUUUUAUAAAUGUGUAAAUAUUGAUAUUAGUUGUAUAUUAAUAGCUUUUUUUUUUCUUUAAGGAUUUUGGUAAACAGUAAUAAAUGUGUAUAUAGUUAACUGCUUUGUCGCAGCCUGGCUCCAUAGAGACAGGAGGGAACUUCUCACCGGUGACAGAGCCCUCACAGCACUCUUGCUUGACCAUCCCAUCCCUUCCACUUGCAGACAGGGCACACCCCUGGAUGUACUCAGGCUACACUGGUUUCUGAUAGUGGGACUACUUUAAGACCAGAAGUACAAGGUUUAAUCUCCUUUUCCAAAUAGGUCAUCAUUAAUUAUGGUAACUGUAUGUAAACAGACCCUUUCUUAAGAUUCGUGCCUCAGUGCUUUUCUGUGGCAGCAAGUUCUGUGGAUUCAUUGCAGAUUUUUUUUUUUUUUCAUUAAUCAGGAAUGAUGGAUAAAAGCAUAGUGUUAGUCUUCUGUAAUCUUUAAGAACAGGUGCUUAAGACUGAUAGGGCAUAAAAGACUGAAGGGGCACUGGUUUCUUUCUUUUCCCCCUUCUUUUUCUAUUUCCUGGCUUAAGUGGAAGAUUGGCAGAGAAGGAGCACGGCUUUGACUCAAAUGAAACAUUUGGACCAGUUUCAUUUGAUGUUUUAUUUUCUCUGAGUUUGCUUCCUUUUUUGGUGAAAACAAAUUUGACUUGAUUUCACAAAUAGUUUCUGCAAACAGGUAUUCAGGGGCUUAAAAAGUUAUCAGAAAUAUUUUUCUGAGCUUCAUUAUAAUCCUUAGAAAUAUCUCCAUGAGUUCAGAUAGAGAAAUGCAAAACUGUUAGGCCUGUGCAAAGUGGCUAGUAUUCACUUCGGAUUCGGAUUUGGCUGAUUUGGGGGAUAGUGGUUAGAUUCAGUGAUUCAAAUCACUGUCCUGAAUUGAUUCAGCCAGAUCAGAUUCGGAGACUCAGCCACUGCCAAAUUGGCCAAAUCUCCGAAUUGGACAGGCCCCAUCCCCCACCCGCUCUUCCAGCCCUGUCAAUGGCUGCCCCACCUGCCCCAGCUCCUGGUUCUUAAAAAAACAAACAAACAAACAAAAAAGCCCCAGCCUCACUGGCUUCUGCCAGGUGAGGGGAGGGGGUGAUCCCUGCUGCCCACCUCUACCCCACAUUGCGUGGCAGGGGUGCUCUGCCACAAGCCCCCAGAAGCCCCGAGGCUGCUGCAGCGGCCAGUGAGUGGGGGCUUUUUUUUUUUUUUCUUUUAAAGAGCUGGGAGCUGGGGCUGCAUGGGGCAGCCGUGGGGCGGGGCUGGGACAGUGGGUGGAGACUGGGGGCAUUCAGGGGACCUGAGGGAGCAGGCAGGGGAUGAGGUUUGGCUGGGAUCCCCCCACUGGUCCCGGCCCCCCUCCUCUAGCCUCCCCUUCCGUGCCCCCUACUUACCAGCACAAAGUCAAGGUCCAGCUCCCUGCAGCAGUAAGCAGGGACUGCCCAAAUCUCUGAAUCUUUUCCAAAUCAAUUUGUAGAACUUCAAAUUGAUUCAAACAUUUUUAUUGGUCUCCCGUUUCAAUUCAGAUUUGGAGAUUUGGCUGCCGAAUUGGGUUGAAUCUCCUCUGAAUCAAAUCAGCACCCGAAGUUUUGCACAGCCCUAAUAACCAUUUAUCAGACUGAUAAGUCAUAAUAGCAUAAAAAGCCAUAUGUGUGUUUACUUAAGCUCAGUGGAAACUAUGCACAUGAUUCUAUGGGGAGAAUAAGGUUUUAAUGUAAUCUGAGGUUUUAUUUACAUCGAAGUUGGGACUUCGAUAUUGUAUUUCUGUUCAGCAUGUGGACAAAUUUAAUGGUCUUGGUCUCUUAACAUUUAGUCGAUUAAUUGUCUUCCAGUGUAUUGCUCAUAAAUUGUAGCCUAAUGAUGAUGCUGACAAACUAGCAGACAGCAAGUCAUAAAAGCACCAGGUUAAUUUCAAUUCAUUGUAGAACUAUUGUUUUAUGGUUUUGGUUGGCUGAAAUUUUAAUUGAGGGUGAAUUUAAAAUAAAGUUUUGACUGGGAUGGUGA